rnacentral:misc_RNA from 1 species
AUUUGCAUUCUUUGUCAGGCAUACCACAUUUCAGCACCACAUUCGACGCUUCGGUAUCACUGCUCACUUAGCCCCCCCCCCCCCAAGCUGCGCUCGUGACGCUUGCGGUCGAGAUAGGUCUCUCAUUCGCUGUAUCGACGCAAGAUCACGUGAAGAAGACGCGCGCACGCCAAGAGCAGCACGGGUUCGCAAUACAUACCUACACUCGCAGCAGCCGCACCGAUCCUCUUAUCCUCCUCCCCACUUUCCGUUUUUGCGCACAGACGUCCGACCCUUCGAGGAACGUAGACGCUAGAACCGCUUAUUUUCUUCUCGUUUCCACACGUCUUUACGACAUCGUCCACAUUCUACACGGCCCUUUCCCCCUCUUUGUUUUUUUCCUAAGAAACGACGUUGGCUCUCUUCCGCGUGCAAGUCUGUAUUUUCUUGUCGUCUUGUAGCUCCUUGACUGUCCGUUGAUCUCUCGCUCCAUCGUUCUUCAUCGCCUGUUGUAGUUUGUUUUCGUCUUAUCACUAGGGCCCACUAUUGUAAUAUCGACUAUGCCGCCGAAGACCACCGGUUCUCGCAGCAAGAGUGUCACCAGCACGACGCCCACCACUUCCGCUCCUGCUGCCGCUCCGGCUUCUGCUGCCGCACCGGCCGCGAUGGUGGCCAGCUCUGUGCCCCAGGGUGGCACGCAGGAGGUGACAUCGCACGUGCAGGCGCUGAUGCAGCAGAUGCAAGCGCGCUUCGACGAAAUGUCGAAGUGCAUCGUCACUCGCAUCGAUGAGAUGAGCACCCGCAUCGAUGACCUCGAGCACUCGAUUGAUGAUCUGAUGCAACAAUCCGGCACAGAGCAAAGUGAUAAGCCCGCGGCGCGGCCGAAAAAGUGAGGGCCGCGUCGGGGAGAGGCCCAAGUGUGCGUGUACCGUAGCUCCUCUGUUCCUCGCCGCCCGUCCCCUUGCUUUGAUCCCUCUGCAGCUGCGCAUUGCGCUCAGAAGAGAGAGACGUUGCAGAAAUGCGGUUGCCAAAAAAAAAAAACAGAGGCAAUGAUACAUUUGUUUUGUUUUUCUGUUUUACCGGCCCUUGAGGUCGCCUUUGUGUUGCCGUUUGGUUUCGCUUCGUCUGGCUUUGCAUACGCGCUGCGGGUCGAGUCGUUCUCUCUUUCCUUUGAUCAUUACACGGUGGCGUCCCUCGCUUUUCAUGUCUGCGCUCCCCCUCCCACACACACACAUACACAUCUUCCCAGACUGCCGCUCUCAGCGGUUUCGCUGUGUCUAUGUCUAGAAGUUUCUCAGAGGCGACCGAGAAGAGAUGUAUGCUCUAUAAGAGCGCGAAGUGCUGCAUCUUCUCUUCUCCUCCUCCAGCCACAGCGUCGGUGCAUCUGGACGCAUUAGAUAAAGCAGAUGACGGGAGCGAGACAGGGAGGGGGCAGCAUCGUCUUGUGCUGCUGGUUGUGUGAUGGAUAGAUUCACGCGUUGUCUGUGUCCCUUCGUGGUCUUGUUGCUGUGAUGUUGGCGUCUGUCGGCUCUCUCGGGUGGUUGGAUAGUAUUUGUUUUCUUCUUCCUUUCGAUUACUUGCUCUUUGCAUGCGCGUCUUUUCCGUUUCCUCGUGCAUGUGCGGUGUGCUGUUUUCUUUUCUAUGAUCAUUAUUUGGGCGUCUGUUGUCUAUUCCCCUGUUGUGUUGUCGUGAGCACAGCUGCAGCGUUUCUUCUCCCUUUUCGUUGCUCUUUUUUUGGCUGGUGAGAUGGUUGGUUUUGCACUGAGGUAUCUGGUUCAUCGAGAUUUCGCUGGGUGCGUCCGUUUCCGAGCGGAUGUGUUCACGCGCUGCUCUGUGGCGUCCAGAGGGGUGGGUGCGUAUCUGCCCCGUUCGCUCAUAGACGUUAUUGCCGUUGGCGUUGUAGGGGAAGCCGUCUGCAUAUUAAACAAGUAAUGGCUUGUCGUCUUUGAGGUUGCUCAUUAUCUGCCGCACAACGUGAGCGCAACUCCACUCGAACCCCGGCCACCCACAGGCCCCAUUCGCGUGGUUCCGGGCGACAGUAGACACACACCCCGUGCAGCAAAAAUGCACCGCCUCCGCCAUCCGAGCACGGCACCUGCCUCCAACGCUACCCACCCACCCAGCCACACAGCGGCUCCCAUCAUGCCGGUCGCCGCCCUUCGUGCAUCCCCCUUGGGGCGACAGAUUCAGGCGGCCCUACCCAACAAUGAGCAGUGCGAGGGCCGGGUAGGAGACACGGUCGAGUAACGCUGAUGCGCCGCCUAUUAUAUCGAUGGUACAAACGUCCUGAAGGCCGCGCGCUGCUUGGCUUUCAAACAGAGUGUGAGUACUGGACUCUGAGAUGCGACGCACGGAGGCGUCCCCUCCGCCGUCAAGGCGAAAGAAGGCGUGCAGAGUAAAGAAAUAAAACAAGGGCAGAGGACGCUUCCGUGGUGAGGCACUUUUUUCUCUUCCCCCUCCCCAUGUCAGCCUCUUCCCUUGCCGUUGUCCAUACACACACACACACACAAACACACGUACUCAUGAUCCCAUCCUAUGCUCUUUCUUUUUACGCGCGUUGCCAUGGUGUUUUCCUUUUGUUUUCUUCGAGGUUGGAGGAUGUUUUCUCGUGAUGACGUACCCCUCUCUCCUCCCCGUGUAGCAUCUCUGAGUGCCUGUGUACAUGUGUAUCCGUGCACGGUGUCUCUCUCUGUCGAUCCCCCUGUAUGGUUCCUGUCACGUAUGGUAUCGUCGCUCGUCCUUUCUUGUCCGUACUCCACCUUUCUUGUACCCACCUCACACCAAAGCCACACCUUCUUCGUCGUUUUAGGUGUGUUUUCCGAUGCUCUGUGCGAUCCUCUCUACAUGUGUGUGUGUGUGUGUGUGUGUGUUCUCUGGCCUGUGCUCCCUCCUCCUGGCCGUGUUCCGCAGAAG